rnacentral:rRNA from 1 species
CCCUUAGAUGUUCUGGGCCGCACGCGCGCUACACUGAUACGUUCAACGAGUUUACAACCUUGAUCGAUAGGUCUGGGUAAUCUUUGGAAUGCGUAUCGUGCUAGGGAUAGAUUAUUGCAAUUAUUAAUCUUGAACGAGGAAUUCCUAGUAAACGCAAGUCAUCAGCUUGCAUUGAUUACGUCCCUGCCCUUUGUACACACCGCCCGUCGCACCUACCGAUUGAAUGGUCCGGUGAAAUCUUCGGAUCUGAGAGAUGUCUGAUUAAUUUCGGACGCCUUUUGGAAAAGUUGCUUAAACCUUACCAUUUAGAGGAAGGUGAAGUCGUAACA